rnacentral:rRNA from 1 species
GACGAACGCUGGCGGCGUGCCUAAUACAUGCAAGUAGAACGCUGAAGGAGGAGCUUGCUUCUCUGGAUGAGUUGCGAACGGGUGAGUAACGCGUAGGUAACCUGCCUGGUAGCGGGGGAUAACUAUUGGAAACGAUAGCUAAUACCGCAUAAGAGUAGAUGUUGCAUGACAUUUGCUUAAAAGGUGCAAUUGCAUCACUACCAGAUGGACCUGCGUUGUAUUAGCUAGUUGGUGGGGUAACGGCUCACCAAGGCGACGAUACAUAGCCGACCUGAGAGGGGGAUCGGCCACCCUGGGACUGAGACACGGCCCAGACUCCUACGGGAGGCAGCAGUAGGGAAUCUUCGGCAAUGGACGGAAGUCUGACCGAGCAACGCCGCGUGAGUGAAGAAGGUUUUCGGAUCGUAAAGCUCUGUUGUAAGAGAAGAACGAGUGUGAGAGUGGAAAGUUCACACUGUGACGGUAUCUUACCAGAAAGGGACGGCUAACUACGUG